rnacentral:rRNA from 1 species
UACGUAGGGGGCAAGCGUUGUCCGGAUUUAUUGGGCGUAAAGAGCGUGUAGGCGGCUGGGUAGGUCCGUUGUGAAAACUCGAGGCUCAACCUCGAGACGUCGGCGGAAACCAUCUGGCUAGAGUCCGGAAGAGGAGAGUGGAAUUCCUGGUGUAGCGGUGAAAUGCGCAGAUAUCAGGAAGAACACCCGUGGCGAAGGCGGCUCUCUGGGACGGUACUGACGCUGAGACGCGAAAGCGUGGGGAGCGAACAGG